UAAUUUUAAUAAGGGCUGAAUAGACUUCAACAUCUAGUGGGAAAAAAAAAACAACGGAGGGCACAUACGAAAUUCUGCGAGUCAUCCACUGAAAGGCAGGAAAGCAGCCGAAACAUUUACGCGUAAUCUCUGUAUUCUUUCGAAGUUCGAAUGCACAAAGCUGCCUAACUUCGAAAACAACCCUACGGCAUACAAUCAAAAACAAAAACAAAAAACACACAACCAACACCCCUGCUGCUGCAAUUGUAGAUAUUUUGUGAGUGUUCCAAGACGCCGUCAGUGCCAAGGAACGCAUCUCGCAUCUUUUACCGCUGUAGACAACACCUUGCCGCACCCUAUCGCCCACACGCCUAGGAAGGAGCAGCAGCCACAGCCACAACCGCAGCAGCGCUAUCGACAACAACUAAUAUUCAAUUUUUCUGCUCAGUGUAACAGUGUACUCUGUGCUUUUAGUUCCGCAGUCGCCGAGCAAAGUAUCGCAACAAAGCAAGGAAUAUGGCGGAACCAGCACCAGCAGCCGAUGCUCCACCAGCCGAUAACGCCGCUGGCGGUGAGGGCGGUGAUGGUGAGAUUGUCGGUGGACCGCGCAAUCCUCAACAGAU